CUCCCCUGCCACCCCCGCCCCCCCCCAGGCUGGGCAGGCUGCCACGCUGUGACCGGGGGGCAACGCCAGCAUGCAGAUCAACAGAUGGAGACACAUUCGCUCUCAGAACCAUCCUCCCCCUCACUCCUCCUCCACUCCUCCCCCUCACUCCUCCUCCUCUGCUCCUCCUCCUCUGCUCCUCCUCCUCUGCUCCUCUCCCUCACUCCUCCUCCUCUGCUCCUCCCCCUCCAUCCUCCCCCUCACUCCUCCUCCUCUGCUCCUCCCCCUCCAUCCUCCCCCUCACUCCUCCUCCACUGCUCCUCCCCCUCUGCUCCUCCCCCUCACUCCUCCCCCUCACUCCUCCUCCUCUGCUCCUCCCCCUCUGCUCCUCCCCCUCACUCCUCCCCUUCACUCCUCCUCCACUCCUCCUCCCCCUCCAUCCUCCUCCUCUGCUCCUCCCCCUCCAUCCUCCUCCACUCCUCCUCCACUCCUCCUCCCCCUCACUCCUCCUCCUCUGCUCCUCUCCUUCACUCCUCCUCCUCUGCUCCUCCUCCACUCCUCCUCCUCUGCUCCUCCUCCACUCCUCCUCCUCUGCUCCUCCCCCUCACUCCUCCCCCUCACUCCUCCUCCUCUGCUCCUCCCCCUCACUCCUCCUCCUCCACUCCUCCUCCUCUGCUCCUCCCCCUUACUUCUCCUCUUCUACUCCUCUUUAUACUCCUCUGGUUGUCUCCCCUCUCCUCUUUUUCUGUUCUUCUUCCUCUCCUCUACUGGGAUCUUAAUCUCUCUUCUCAUUGGCUCUCCUCGUCUUCCUCUUUAACUCCGGUCUCUUCUGUCUUUUUCACUCUUUCUCUACUCCCUCUCUUUUCUCCUCUUUUCCCCUCUCGCUCAUGUCCUCUUUUCGCUUCAAUUGUUUUCCCUGCUGUCUCUCUUCUCUUCUCUUCUCUUCUCUUCUCCUCUCUUCUCCUCUCUUCUCUCCUCUCCUCUUCUCUUCUCCUCUCUACUCUUCUCUUCUCUUCUCUCCUCUCCUCUCCUCUCCUCUCCUCUCUUCUCUUCUCUUCUCUCCUCUUCUCUUCUCCUCUCUACUCUUCUCUUCUCUUCUCUCCUCUCCUCUCCUCUCCUCUCCUCUCUUCUCUUCUCUUCUCUUCUCUUCUCUUCUCUUCUCUUCUCCUCUCUUCUCUUCUCUUCUCUUCUCUUCUCCUCUUCUCUUCUCCUCUCUACUCUCCACUCCUCUCCUCUGUUCUCCUUUCUCCUUCUCUCCCCUCCCCACCUCUCCUUUCCUUUCCUAUCUCUGUGGCAACCCUGUGGAAAUAAGUGCCUCUCAAUGGCAGCCUGUGACUCAGAAAGGAGGGCAGCCUUUGCGGAUGGCGGUGAACCUGCUUACAGCCUAUGAGGACCUGGCUGCUAUUUGACUACAGGUC
rnacentral:lncRNA from 1 species